AUGAACGCUGGCGGCGGCCUAACACAUGCAAGUCGAACGGUAACAUUUCUAGCUUGCUAGAAGAUGACGAGUGGCGGACGGGUGAGUAAUGCUUGGGAACUUGCCUUUGCGAGGGGGAUAACAGUUGGAAACGACUGCUAAUACCGCAUAAUGUCUUCGGACCAAACGGGGCUUCGGCUCCGGCGCAAAGAGAGGCCCAAGUGAGAUUAGCUAGUUGGUAAGGUAACGGCUUACCAAGGCGACGAUCUCUAGCUGUUCUGAGAGGAAGAUCAGCCACACUGGGACUGAGACACGGCCCAGACUCCUACGGGAGGCAGCAGUGGGGAAUAUUGCACAAUGGGGGAAACCCUGAUGCAGCCAUGCCGCGUGUGUGAAGAAGGCCUUCGGGUUGUAAAGCACUUUCAGUUGUGAGGAAAAGUUAGUAGUUAAUACCUGCUAGCCGUGACGUUAACAACAGAAGAAGCACCGGCUAACUCCGUGCCAGCAGCCGCGGUAAUACGGAGGGUGCGAGCGUUAAUCGGAAUUACUGGGCGUAAAGCGCACGCAGGCGGUUUGUUAAGCUAGAUGUGAAAGCCCCGGGCUCAACCUGGGAUGGUCAUUUAGAACUGGCAGACU
rnacentral:rRNA from 1 species